GAGGAAGUAAAAGUCGUAACAAGGUUUCCGUAGGUGAACCUGCGGAAGGAUCAUUAUUGAAAUAAACCUGAUGGGGUUGUUGCUGGCUCUCUAGGGAGCAUGUGCACACCUUGUCAUCUUUAUAUCUCCACCUGUGCACCUUUUGUAGACAUCUUUCCAGGUGUCUAUGUUGAUUCUUCAUUUACCCCAAUGCAUGUCAAUAGAAUGUUGUGUCUAUAAUAUAUACAACUUUCAGCAACGGAUCUCUUGGCUCUCGCAUCGAUGAAGAACGCAGCGAAAUGCGAUAAGUAAUGUGAAUUGCAGAAUUCAGUGAAUCAUCGAAUCUUUGAACGCACCUUGCGCUCCUUGGUAUUCCGAGGAGCAUGCCUGUUUGAGUGUCAUUAAUAUUAUAUAUCGAACCCUCUUUUUUUGAGUGGUUUGGAUGUGGGGUUGCUGGCCUCUUGAAGGGGUCAGCUUCCCUGAAAUGCAUUAGCAGAACAGCCUGUUCGUUCCAUUGGUGUGAUAACUAUCUACGCUAUUGAAUGAUGAAGGCAAGUUCAGCUUUCUAACCGUCUUUGGACAAUUUAUCAUCUAUAUGUGACCUCAAAUCAGGUAGGACUACCCGCUGAACUUAAGCAUAUCAAUAAGCGGAGGAAAAGAAACUAACAAGGAUUCCCCUAGUAACUGCGAGUGAAGCGGGAAAAGCUCAAAUUUAAAAUCUGGCGGUCUUUUGGCUG
rnacentral:rRNA from 1 species